GGCGGGGUAGCUCAGUCGGUAGAGCAGAGGACUGAAAAUCCUUGUGUCGCCGGUUCAAUUCCGGCUCCUGCCACCA
rnacentral:tRNA from 1 species